rnacentral:rRNA from 1 species
CCUACGGGUGGCAGCAGUGAGGAAUAUUGGUCAAUGGGCGCGAGCCUGAACCAGCCAAGUCGCGUGAGGGAAGACGGUCCUAUGGAUUGUAAACCUCUUUUGUCGGGGAGCAAAAGACGCCACGCGUGGCGUUCCGAGAGUCCCCGAAGAAAAAGCAUCGGCAAACUCCGUGCCAGCAGCCGCGGUAAUACGGGGGAUGCGAGCGUUAUCCGGAGUUAUUGGGUUUAAAGGGUGCGCAGGCGGAAGAUCAAGUCAGCGGUAAAAUUGAGAGGCUCAACCUCGUCGAGCCGUUGAAACUGGUGUUCUUGAGUGAGCGAGAAGUAUGCGGAAUGCGUGGUGUAGCGGUGAAAUGCAUAGAUAUCACGCAGAACUCCGAUUGCGAAGGCAGCAUACCGGCGCUCAACUGACGCUCAUGCACGAAAGUGUGGGUAUCGAACAGGAUUAGAUACCCCAGUAGUC